rnacentral:rRNA from 1 species
GACGAACCACACAAACGUUAUUCGGAAUUACUGGGCUUAAAGGGUGCGUAGGCGGCGCAGAAAGUAGGGUGUGAAAUCCCUCGGCUCAACCGAGGAACUGCGCCCUAAACUACUGUGCUCGAGGGAGGUAGAGGUGAGCGGAACUGCGAGUGUAGAGGUGAAAUUCGUAGAUAUUCGCAAGAACACCAGUGGCGAAGGCGGCUCACUGGCCCGGUACUGACGCUGAGGUGCGAAAGCGUGGGGAGCAAACAGG